rnacentral:lncRNA from 1 species
CACAGGCAGAGGCCAGAAUAGUUUUGAAGUGAAUACUGAGAAAAAUCCAGGAUUUCUGUGAGUCAGGCAUCUGGGUCAGAAGACAAGAAUUUCCAGGGGAAGUCCUCAGUCAUCCUGGUGCUUCCCCAAGUGAUGGUGGGAAUCUGACACUCAGAGGGAAUGAAGGGAACUGGAGGAAGAGCCAUCCUUGAGACAGUACAGCAAAGGACUUGGCUGAGUUAUGUCUCUGUCCUAAAACUUCUGGGAAGGCAGGAUUUAAAGCCCUGAACUAGGGAAGUUGGCUGAAGAAAUCUCUUAUGUGUUCGAGAGAGCAAGAUGCUGAGGCUACAGAGCUGAGAGAAACAAACUCCCAAGUAAAAAAGAGGAGAUAUCAUAAGGGUACCAAGUCAUAAUGUACUCACAGCCAAGUCUAGUGAUGAAGGCCCCACAUUGACAAAGAAAUACAAAGAAGCAACUACCAGGGCCUAAUGUAGCUUACUAAGAAUGGACGCUCAGCUGCCAUGGAAACAAAGCAAGUAGCAUCCUCUGGGACCAGCAAAAUACCAAAGUCCUUACUUCCUUAGGCCAGGGAGUUUGUCACCCAAUGGACUACAGAAGCCUAUCCAGUUGAAUAAGCUGUGGCCUCCUCUCUCCGGCCGACAGAGAACAGGUCAGGACUCUUCAUCCUGCUCUGAGACCUGAAGGAAACAUUCCCAAGUUCAUGUAUAAAGAGAAGAAUAUGCAGCAUGUAUGUCUAAUCUCCCCCUCAAGGCGACACACUUGAAAACAGAAAUCAAGAUUUAUCUCUCUAACUGUAAUCAUUCUAAAAGCCAGACAGAAUUAAUAGUGUUUCAUUUUGGGGGGAAAUUGUCUAAAGUUAAUAUAAAUUACUUAGGCUAUUAUUGAAAAAUCACAUAUAUAAAUCUGAUGUUUCUCUCAGGAUUGUGUUUGCAGAUUUAUAGACCCUAUGUAAUAUAAAUGAGAAUGAGGAAACAACGAUCUUAUUCAAUAUUCUCAUGCUGCACACAGUAAAUGGUCUAUAUCCACACCACUUUCUCUUUGCUCAGGCCACUCUGGCCUGCAGCUGCUCUCUGAAUCUACCAGGUUCUGUCCUGCGAUCCCUAAGUGGUGUAGCACAGGCUUUCUCUCGGAUGGAAGCCCUUUCAAUGUCCCUCCUUGUGAGUGACCUCCCUGAUUGCCUACUCAGCAUCACCCUCACCUCCAAACUCUCGCAGGUGUCCAAGCCCUUCGCUAUGGCUCAGCUCCAUCUGCCUGGGACAGCUUGGGUAUCACUACUAAAUUGCUUCAGAGGAACAUUUUGGAUUUUGUAUUCUUUCAGAUGUUGUAACAUUUUCAUUCACAUAAUGAGACGUCUUGGGAUGAAAACCAAGCCUAAGCAUGAAAUUCAUUUAUGUAUCACAUAUGCAUACCUGAAAUGUUAUAUAAUAUUUUUAGUGUGAAUAUAUUUUGACUAGGCCUGUCACAUCAAGUCAGGUAUAGAAUCUUUCCAUUUGUGGUCUCGUGUUAGCACUGAUGAGAACAUUUUCUAUUUCAGGACAUUUCAAAUGUCUCAUUUCUGAGUUAGGGAUGCUCAACCUGAAAUAGCCUUCGCUGGUUUUCCACUAGGCAGAGCUGCCCGAUAGGUGUGACUUAUGCAGCCACAUACAGCCCUACCCUCUAAGGAUCUACUCUUGGUUAUGCUCUGCCAUCACCCUUUUGAAUGCGUACUGCAUGAGGUCCAUCGGGAAACAGGAACAUGUGGCCAACGGAGCAGUUCACGUGUCCACUGUUCCUUUCUACCUCAUUUGCAUGUGGCUUUCUCAGUGUCCUAUGAAAAUAGAAUUCCAAAACAUGUGAAAGAUGAGUGAGACUCAAAGCCAAGUGCAUUUGUGAGUCAGCAGUGAGUAAGUACACUGACAGCCCCAAGAGGACAGAAAAAAAGGCAACUACAUUCUAAAUAGGAGCUAACUACCUAUCCCAGAUAGCAGGACGCAGAAAGAAAGCUGACACCACUUACAAUUCACUUUCCUUUUUUAUCAAGGUAGAAAAGUAGCAGGUAGAAUAUGGACAUCCCAUGGGGUGAAAUAAAACAACUGAUUGUUUGGGGUAGCAUUUUCACUGCAUAACUUUAGGGAUUCCAUAUGCAAGUUUAGAGGCCCCAUGUGAACAUUUAAAAAAAAAAAAAAACAAGCAUUGCAUAAUAUAAAAAUGAGAGUAAAUUUCAAAAUCAUUACUUAAUAUUUAAAAUAUUCUCCACACUGAAUUAUACUGAACAACAAAUUUUAAAAACGACCAUAAAUGAAGAGUCUGCAGAAAUACUGGUACUGUUUCCUGAAUUUUGAAUGAAGGGCUUCAGGCUUUCACUCUGCAUUGGAUCCAGCUAAUGAGACAGUGAGCCUGCCACUAUGACAGGAAUGUUCAGAACACAGGGCCUCUGCUUCAAGAACAGAUCUAUGUAAGUGUCGUACACAAUACCAUUUUGCGCUCGUUCAAUUUCAUUAAGUGUUUAUUAGACAUGAGGAAGAUGCAAUAAUACCAAAAGACCUUAGAAGCCAAGAAAACUCUUGUCCCCUUUUCUGCUCUGUGGGGGAUGUACCAUAGCCACAGAGCUACAUUUAGACAGGGGCAUAGACAAGGACCCAUCAGAGAACACCCGGGUCAAACUGGGUCCUAUGUUUGUUAGCUAUGUAAUCAAACAGAAGGGAAUGAACCCUGGUGAGUCUCAAUUUUCACUUUUGGGAAACACGGAUAAUAAAGCAUGUCAAAAGAUGAGGAAAGUGGAAGGCAAUUUGGAAAUAAGCUUGCUGUACAUUAAGUGUUUGUGUUUCAAAAGCUACCAGGUCUCUACAAAAGAUUAGCGGGAUAGCGGGUGGCCUCUCAGCAAGACCUGGGGAAGACAAGACGACCUAGGAGGAACAGAAACAACAAGGUCUACCAGUUGGAUGUCUGACACAGAAAACAUUUAAGAAUGAGUGUAAGGCUGUCUCCUUGUCACAUGCACCAGCGUUGCUAUCUGCCUCCAAGCUCCUUCCUGGAGGACUUCCCACCACCUUGGACCACAGAGCAAUGGCAGAUGCCUGCAAAUCAUACUGGCAGACUCAAAUUACAUACUGUUUCUGACCA